AAUUGUGAUGAAUGAUUGAUACGUAUACAUAUGUAUGUAUGCAUGUACAUAAGUAUUUAAUCAUGUUCACAAGAAUAUAAUUUCGGUCAACUUUCUAAAUUUCAAACACUUUCUAUGGAUUUCUACCAGCUGGUCAAUGGGCACAGCUUGGUUUAUUGAUUUUUUGCUGAUUUCAAGGCCAAUAAAGACUUCCCAGAAUAAGCGGGAGCCUUGAAAACUGUCAUGCAUUAAAUUCAUGCCAGGAGGCAGGACACUAUAUUACUAUGUUUCUUGCAAUUUUCGUGAAGACUGUCCAGUCGAGGGCGUGUUUUGAUACGAUGUUUCGGGACUCUGGUAGUUGGCCGCUUCAAACCCUGACCAAUCAUCAUCGUGGACCACUAGCUAAAUUUCCGCCUACUGAUUGAGAACGCUGAUAGCCACUAUCCUCCAUACUAGGAUCGUUAUAGCCAGAUUGUGAGGAGG